AUUAAACGCUGGCGGCAUGCCUUACACAUGCAAGUCGAACGGCAGCACGGGAGCUUGCUCCUGGUGGCGAGUGGCGAACGGGUGAGUAAUACAUCGGAACGUACCCUGAAGUGGGGGAUAACGUAGCGAAAGUUACGCUAAUACCGCAUAUUCUGUGAGCAGGAAAGAGGGGGAUCGCAAGACCUCUUGCUUUAGGAGCGGCCGAUGUCGGAUUAGCUAGUUGGUGAGGUAAAAGGCUCACCAAGGCGACGAUCCGUAGCGGGUCUGAGAGGAUGAUCCGCCACACUGGGACUGAGACACGGCCCAGACUCCUACGGGAGGCAGCAGUGGGGAAUUUUGGACAAUGGGCGCAAGCCUGAUCCAGCCAUGCCGCGUGAGUGAAG
rnacentral:rRNA from 1 species